UGUGUGGACCACGAAAACCCUUUGGAUGCUA
rnacentral:piRNA from 1 species